UACGUAGGGCGCAAGCGUUUGUCCGGAAUUAUUGGGCGUAAAGAGCUCGUAGGCGGCUUGUCACGUCGGGUGUGAAAGCCCGGGGCUUAACCCCGGGUCUGCAUUCGAUACGGGCAGGCUAGAGUGUGGUAGGGGAGAUCGGAAUUCCUGGUGUAGCGGUGAAAUGCGCAGAUAUCAGGAGGAACACCGAUGGCGAAGGCAGGUCUCUGGGCCACUACUGACGCUGAGAAGCGAAAGCAUGGGGGAGCGAACAGG
rnacentral:rRNA from 1 species